rnacentral:rRNA from 1 species
UACGUAGGGUGCGAGCGUUGUCCGGAAUUAUUGGGCGUAAAGAGCUCGUAGGCGGUUUGUCGCGUCUGCUGUGAAAACCCGAGGCUCAACCUCGGGCCUGCAGUGGGUACGGGCAGACUAGAGUGCGGUAGGGGAGAUUGGAAUUCCUGGUGUAGCGGUGAAAUGCGCAGAUAUCAGGAGGAACACCGGUGGCGAAGGCGGGUCUCUGGGCCGAUACUGACGCUGAGGAGCGAAAGCGUGGGGAGCGAACAGG